rnacentral:rRNA from 1 species
UACGUAGGGUGCAAGCGUUAUCCGGAAUUAUUGGGCGUAAAGAGCUCGUAGGUGGUUUGUCGCGUUGUUCGUGAAAACUCACAGCUCAACUGUGGGCGUGCGGGCGAUACGGGCAGACUAGAGUACUGCAGGGGAGACUGGAAUUCCUGGUGUAGCGGUGGAAUGCGCAGAUAUCAGGAGGAACACCGGUGGCGAAGGCGGGUCUCUGGGCCGUAACUGACGCUGGAGGAGCGAAAGCAUGGGGAGCGAACAGG